GAGGGGGGGAAUGGGGUGGGAUGGAGUGGGAGGUGUGCGGGGUCCCAGUAGAGCCAAGAGGUCUCUGCAGUUGCAUCAGAGCUGAGGGGCAGGAAAAGGGUUUCUGAGCAACCCAGUGUAGCAACCUAAAUUAGCAGUGCCGGCCUUCAGGCAGUGAGCCGAGCUCUCAUGUCCGCCCAUGUACGUACAUUUGUGAGGGGACCGAGGCUCCUGCCUGAGCCAUGUGCCUGCCUGUGCGUAGGGUUCCACCUGGCAGAGCUCCAGCUGGCAGGACUGGCUUUGCCCUAGAUAGACCAGGGACUGGUGACUCAGUUCUGCCUUAUCUGGGGGAGUGUGAGGCCCUCACCACUGGCUGAGGAGAGAGGGAGACACCCAGUGGAGCAGCCUUGUCCCCCACAGCCUUGGGGUGCUUGCUGAAGGGCCCCUGAGCCUUGCAUGGCAACAGACACAGCUCAGCCACUUGGUCCAAAUUCCAGCUUCCCUGGUCCCUGCUGCUCCUCAGAGCCAGAGCCAGACACGGCUGAGCGCCUGUGCUAUGCUUGUCCUUGUGCUGGGAGGGAGGUGGAAAAAAUGUAGCAAACGGGGGUAAUCCAAAACUGGGACAGGGUCAUGUGCUGGAGGCAGGUGGAGAAUGUUGGCUUCCAGACCCAGGGGCAUUUGGCUGUGUGUUACCCGCCUGGAAAGAGAGAGGAGUGAGCCCCCAGCUGAGCAGCUGGACUUGAUGCUGUGAACACAGGUGCCCGAGGCAGGGCUGUACCUAUCUGGAGCUGCUUUUGCCUCUGGGCUGAAGAGGCCAGUGUGGGAAGGAGGCUGCAGAGCUAUGGCUGCCUUAGUGAGGAGGGGGAGCCCCACAGCAGGGCCAGUGGCAUGGGGAGGGCAAAGGGGAAGGGAGGUGGUUCUUUCUCUGAGGGGCAUCUUGCUUUCAGGAUCACCUCCUUCCCUCAUUUUCUCUGCUGCAGACCCUAGGUAUCUCACCCAGAGAGAGGAGCCCCAGAUCUUCCCUCAUAGCCUGGGUUCUUCGCUAUUGUCAGCCCCAUGGCUCCUCUCUGUCUGCUGCUAUCAUGCACUUCUAUAUUUAACACAAGAUUUCUGUCUGUGGCAGAGGGCAUUUUCUGAGGUAAAGUUAAAUACAUGGCAAAACCUUCAGAAGCGGAGGCUUGAAAACGUAAUUGCUCUAACCUGAUUGCCUGUGUUAUUAUUCAAAUAGAUAGCUGAAUGAAGGUCAGUUUUUGAAUAGGUUUGAAUUUUGAUGGUGCUGUGAAUGAACUGUCUCCUAGUCCCAGAAAGCUGCAAGAUGAGGUCUUUUGUACUGCAGAGAAAGGCUUUGAAGAAUCCCAGUGAUGUCUGAGUCCCUGAAACUUCUACCACACAAGCGUACAGCUUGCAGUCACUGAGGAUUACAGCCAUGGAAGCAUUUUCUUGGGACUUUUUCUCAUAACAAAACCUUGGCAUUUCCUGCUGCAUUCCCUGAGAUAAGAGCAUAUGGAUCUGAGAGAAAUGAAGGGCAAGUAAAUGAACUGCAGCCUUUAUCUGAAUGGCCCGAUGGAAACAAAUGGAUUUUAAUCUAAAGGAGGAAAUAAAGAAGGAAUUAAAUGCUUGAAAGUUUGUUCUUUUUCGGCACUUGCAGUCUAGAACAUAAGUUGCAUGUUUAAAACAAACAAAAUGUCUUUCCUGGAAUUAUAACCUGACCAAUUUGUAGUUUGGUAUUCCCUACCAGGAUGUGGUAGCUUUCUGUGUGACUGAUGGAUGGUUCAAAGGGGGAUUUGUUGUUUUGAAGGAGCAAAGG